rnacentral:rRNA from 1 species
GACGAACGCUGGCGGCGUGCUUAACACAUGCAAGUCGAACGGAAAGGCCCUGCUUUUGUGGGGUGCUCGAGUGGCGAACGGGUGAGUAACACGUGAGUAACCUGCCCUUGACUUUGGGAUAACUUCAGGAAACUGGGGCUAAUACCGGAUAGGAGCUCCUGCUGCAUGGUGGGGGUUGGAAAGUUUCGGCGGUUGGGGAUGGACUCGCGGCUUAUCAGCUUGUUGGUGGGGUAGUGGCUUACCAAGGCUUUGACGGGUAGCCGGCCUGAGAGGGUGACCGGCCACAUUGGGACUGAGAUACGGCCCAGACUCCUACGGGGGGCAGCAGUGGGGAAUAUUGCACAAUGGGCGGAAGCCUGAUGCAGCAACGCCGCGUGCGGGAUGACGGCCUUCGGGUUGUAAACCGCUUUCGCCUGUGACGAAGCGUGAGUGACGGUAAUGGGUAAAGAAGCACCGGCUAACUACGUGCCAGCAGCCGCGGUGAUACGUAGGGUGCGAGCGUUGUCCGGAUUUAUUGGGCGUAAAGGGCUCGUAGGUGGUUGAUCGCGUCGGAAGUGUAAUCUUGGGGCUUAACCCUGAGCGUGCUUUCGAUACGGGCUGACUUGAGGAAGGUAGGGGAGAAUGGAAUUCCUGGUGGAGCGGUGGAAUGCGCAGAUAUCAGGAGGAACACCAGUGGCGAAGGCGGUUCUCUGGGCCUUUCCUGACGCUGAGGAGCGAAAGCGUGGGGAGCGAACAGGCUUAGAUACCCUGGUAGUCCACGCUGUAAACGGUGGGUACUAGGUGUGGGGUCCAUUCCACGGGUUCCGUGCCGUAGCUAACGCUUUAAGUACCCCGCCUGGGGAGUACGGCCGCAAGGCUAAAACUCAAAGGAAUUGACGGGGCCCCGCACAAGCGGCGGAGCAUGCGGAUUAAUUCGAUGCAACGCGUAGAACCUUACCUGGGUUUGACAUGGAUCGGGAGUGCUCAGAGAUGGGUGUGCCUCUUUUGGGGUCGGUUCACAGGUGGUGCAUGGCUGUCGUCAGCUCGUGUCGUGAGAUGUUGGGUUAAGUCCCGCAACGAGCGCAACCCUUGUUCACUGUUGCCAGCACGUUAUGGUGGGGACUCAGUGGAGACCGCCGGGGUCAACUCGGAGGAAGGUGGGGAUGACGUCAAGUCAUCAUGCCCCUUAUGUCCAGGGCUUCACGCAUGCUACAAUGGCUGGUACAGAGAGUGGCGAGCCUGUGAGGGUGAGCGAAUCUCGGAAAGCCGGUCUCAGUUCGGAUUGGGGUCUGCAACUCGACCUCAUGAAGUCGGAGUCGCUAGUAAUCGCAGAUCAGCAACGCUGCGGUGAAUACGUUCCCGGG